rnacentral:rRNA from 1 species
AUGAACGCUGGCGGCGUGCCUAAUACAUGCAAGUCGCGCGAACGGACGAGAAGCUUGCUUCUCUGAUGUUAGCGGCGGACGGGUGAGUAACACGUGGAUAACCUACCUAUAAGCCUGGGAUAACUUCGGGAAACCGUAGCUAAUACCGGAUAAUAUUUUGAACCGCAUGGUUCAAAAGUGAAAGACGGUCUUGCUGUCACUUAUAGAUGGAUCCGCGCUGCAUUAGCUAGUUGGUAAGGUAACGGCUUACCAAGGCAACGAUGCAUAGCCGACCUGAGAGGGUGAUCGGCCACACUGGAACUGAGACACGGUCCAGACUCCUACGGGAGGCAGCAGUAGGGAAUCUUCCGCAAUGGGCGAAAGCCUGACGGAGCAACGCCGCGUGAGUGAUGAAGGUCUUCGGAUCGUAAAACUCUGUUAUUAGGGAAGAACAUAUGUGUAAGUAACUGUGCACAUCUUGACGGUACCUAAUCAGAAAGCCACGGCUAACUACGUG